rnacentral:rRNA from 1 species
CCUACGGGAGGCAGCAGUGGGGAAUAUUGGACAAUGGGCGGAAGCCUGAUCCAGCCAUGCCGCGUGUGUGAAGAAGGCCUUUUGGUUGUAAAGCACUUUAAGCGAGGAGGAGGCUACUAGUACUAAUACUACUGGAUAGUGGACGUUACUCGCAGAAUAAGCACCGGCUAACUCUGUGCCAGCAGCCGCGGUAAUACAGAGGGUGCGAGCGUUAAUCGGAUUUACUGGGCGUAAAGCGUGCGUAGGCGGCUUUUUAAGUCGGAUGUGAAAUCCCCGAGCUUAACUUGGGAAUUGCAUUCGAUACUGGGAAGCUAGAGUAUGGGAGAGGAUGGUAGAAUUCCAGGUGUAGCGGUGAAAUGCGUAGAGAUCUGGAGGAAUACCGAUGGCGAAGGCAGCCAUCUGGCCUAAUACUGACGCUGAGGUACGAAAGCAUGGGGAGCAAACAGGAUUAGAUACCCUGGUAGUCCAUGCCGUAAACGAUGUCUACUAGCCGUUGGGGCCUUUGAGGCUUUAGUGGCGCAGCUAACGCGAUAAGUAGACCGCCGUGGGGAGUACGGUCGCGAAGACUAAAACGUCAAAUGAAUUGACGG